GUGUCAGCAGCCGCGGUAAUACGUAGGUGGCGAGCGUUGUCCGGAAUCAUUGGGCGUAAAGAGCGCGUAGGUGGCUUGUCAGGUCCGGUGUGAAAUCCUGGGGCUCAACUCCAGGCGUGCAUCGGAAACCGGCCUGCUAGAGUCUGGGAGAGGAGAGUGGAAUUCCUGGUGUAGCGGUGAAAUGCGUAGAUAUCAGGAGGAACACCGGUAGCGAAGGCGGCUCUCUGGAACAGUACUGACACUGAGGCGCGAAAGCUAGGGGAGCAAACAGGAUUAGAUACCCUGGUAGUCCUAGCCGUAAACGAUGGACACUAGGUGUCGGGGGUGUCGACUCCCCCGGUGCCGAAGCUAACGCAUUAAGUGUCCCGCCUGGGGAGUACGGCCGCAAGGCUAAAACUCAAAUGAAUUGACGGGG
rnacentral:rRNA from 1 species